rnacentral:rRNA from 1 species
AUGCUAUAUAUAAUAUUGGAUGGAAGUAAACAAAGAAUAUAUAUGAGCUUUCAAGAUGUUUUAAAAGAGAAAUUUGAUGCAAGGCGAAAGAAUGAAGACUUAUCAUGGAAAAGACAUGAUGAUUACAAUGAGGCCCUAAAAUGGGCAAGAAGCUUAAUAAGGCAAAAUUAUUAUAUAGACCCAAAAGCUAAAGAAUAUAUCUUAAGUCGGAGAGGCAUAUGUAGCAACAUGACCACUCCAUCUUUUCCUAAAUAUACAAAGGGAGAAGCAUCAAGCUCCCAGAAGGUUAAAGAAGAAGAUUCCACUAAAUAUGAGACACACAAAGAAUGCCUUGUCAAAGGAGUCGAUCCUUUAGAUGGUGAAUAUAUAGACUCAGAAAUAAAUGAAAAAUUUGAACAACUUGCAAAAUCAAUGAAGGAAGAACUGAAAUAA